UGGGAAGCACAACCUAUGAAAUGGCCUAUGCGAUUGAGGGUGGUGCUUUAUCUCGCCCUCUAGGCAUAUGCUGAAAACCAGGUCCUGGAUGUUCAUAUGUCGAGUAUGGAUCAACAGUGGAACUAGGACCUCUUAAAGUUAAGAGGAAUGAGAAAGUUAUGCAGGUAUACCAUUAUAAUUUUUAUUUAUUUAUUUCUGUAGGUUUCAACUUUGCUAUGCUAGAUGGAGAACAGACAGUAAUCCUCAUGCCAUUGAACAUGGAUGAUAUGAGACAAGCUGGAAAAUCAGUGCUGCUGGCAAACAGUUCUACACCACGAAAUUAGGUAUCUUAAUCCUCUCUCUCUCUUUCUCUCUCUCUCUCUCUCUCACUCUCACUCUCAUGGUCUGACUCUUUGAAAUUUUGCAUUUGUUUUUAGUCAUUCCACUUUGUAGAUGAAUCAAAGCACUUAUUGAAUGACCAUGUUUUAUUUCUAA